AGGAUGACUGCGCUCCCUGCAAGAGCCCAUGGAGCGAAAGAGGGAGGGUUUCCGCGGCAACUUGGGAUUGUGUUAACCCACUUCAAUACCGUAACGGGCGGGCAGCUGGAGUGUGUACCGAAAGGGGCCGACAGACAGAGGCCGACCAGGAAAGAAGCUGCAAAUUAACAUGCGUGCAUGUGAGCACACACUCGCCCACGUGCUCACACGCAGCUUCUGAAUGUCACCUCCGUAUGUAAUACCAGGGCCAGGGCCGUCUGCACUCUGCCCGCGGGAAACGGGGCUCUGGGCCCAGGGCAGGACCCCUUCGGGGCGCGUCGCAGGCCCCGCUGCGGGCUGGUGCGCACGGCCGCCGCGAGGGUCGGGCGACAACCCUUGAGGUCUCAAAUCACCUAAAGCCCUCGGAAGGAAGGACUGGCUGCUCUCCCUCCACCCAGCCCGCACAGGCCACUGGGUAAAUGUAUUCCUUUGACCUACUGGCAGAUUCAAUCAUCUCAAAGCAAGACAAAUAGUGUUUCAGCUGAGGCAAAUGGUGGCCCAGUAACGCCAUGAUUCCAAGGUGAAAACCAAACCAAUCUUCCUCUGUCCUGCCCUCCACCACGUGAACUCAAAGAGGCUUCUGCACUUCCUGCAGCCACAAACCCCUGUGCAUCCUAAAAGGCAGUGGAAAGCAAUUUCCAACAGCUUCAGAGGAGUGUGUGGAGGCACUACUUGCAUUCAGACACCAUCAACAAGGAUUCUCCCUCCCUGUUUGCAUUCUCUGAUGGACUUGAUUGAUGGAAGCUUUACCAUCACCACAACCAGUUUUACAUGACUGUCCACAAAAAGAUACCAGGAUUCCUAGGCUCAGAACUGCCAUAACACAAAAAGGACUUUCCUCUUAUACACGCUCAGCCUGCCUUCCCUCCUAUGAACCCAGUCUCAGCAAGGAUCAUGUUGGGGCUCAUGACCCAAGGAAAGGGGAUCAGAUUAGUGGCUCUCCAGAGUCACCCAUUCUGUGGACAAGAAAACCUGAAACCAAGAGGUUAAAUGGAGUUCUCAGAAUAACAUGCCAGCAGGGACUCGUUGGCGCUGGGCCUGGGGAUGCCUGGUGUGGGACCUGCAAACUUUUGUCACACCAUGGACUCUUCUAUACUUUACUCUCUGUGUUUUGGCUAAAAAACCCACAGUGGCUGUUUGGCUCACGCAGCCUAUUUUAGGGUGCAUUCUAGAUUUCAUUAAGGAUAUAGAAACAAAGCAUAAAAUGAGGUUUGAUGUCAAGAAAGAAUGAAAAGAGAAGACAUGCCCCAGACCACUGGGUCCCAGCACCCUGUGACCUUGGAGUGUGUUGGGGAGGCCCCUGCCAGGAAGAGGUGCCUGGGUGCUUGGUACUCUGGUGCUGUCCACCAGGAACCAACCACACCUGCUACAGAUCUGCCAGAUCAGGCUUGAGCAGGGAGCAACAUGUGUCUUCCUCGGAAUGCAAAACCAAGCCAAAAAACGAAGAAAGCAAGCUCUAUGACCCAACAACCCUCCUGCUGUGCCAUCCAGAAUGGCAGCAACCAGCACACGUGGCUCCUGAGCAGCUGAAAUACAACCAAAGGAAGGUGUGCUGUAAGUGUGAACUCCCCAGGGGACUCCAAAGCCUUAGUGCAAGACAGAACGCAAAGCACCUCAUUAAAAAUGCUCACGAUGACUGCAGGUUAAGGUACUUUAGAUAUAUUUCGGCCAAAUUAAAUGCAUAAUUAAGAUUAA